GCGUGCCGCGGGUUCUCACCAGAGCUUCAAGCUUACUUCAUGGCAAGAGGGACUCAUGACUUGCAGUUUAAGCUAAUGGAUGACUACUAUUACCAUAUAUAUCUCAUCUUUAAAGAAAAAACAUUGGUAUAAAUAUCUAGCCACGGGCGAGAGGUAGAGGUGGUAAGGCAACAUAAUAGAAACUAGAAGUGAAGUGGCCGCAUCGCUCGAUCUAUGAAAGAGUAGUUGAGAGAUGGGACUGAUCUCAUGCUUUUCGAUCCGUCUUCUGACGCUGCUCGUAUUGAUCGUCUCUUCAUUCUUGGUCAUGCAAUCACCUCAUUACGUUCACGCAGAUCAAAAACCGAGAAAAUUAAGGGGCAUGCCAACCCCACCCCCUCCUCCUACUGUAGCCAGACGUAGUGGAGAUGGCUAAUUUGGGAUUGGGAUAUGCAUCUUAGUCUGAAGCAUGAUUACGUUAAGUUUCUCCUCAGAUUAAAAAGAAAAGAUUACAUUACUUUAUAUUGUCGCCCAACUCAUUUUGUUUAACAUUUUUGUUUAAGGGUUGUGAUUACCAAACACGUUAAUUGUAUUAGUAAAUUCUGCAAGCACAUAUCAUGCUCUAGCCGUCUGAAUUCAUAAAAAGAAGAAGAUGACGUUCCCUGUUAAAACAAUGAAAGGAAGAAGAAGAUGUGAAUCAAAGGAGGAGAAAGACACAAGUUCCCGAAUCUCUUUGCUAUAUGAUGAAAUAAAAGUCUCUAUGCUAUAUGAUAUCAUAAUAGCCAACUGAUAAUUUUUACCCU